CACUCCCGCUGAACUACGUUACAAUGAGAGGUGCGCCUGAACGACAACACGAUACGGCGUCAUAACUACAACGGUUACGGCGUCUUGACGUGUCACUUCUUUAUAUUGACAUUUAUAGGCAUACACACGCGUUGACAAGCGUUACAGCGCCUGCAGGAAGGCAAAAUUACAAGCAUGGAGAUUUCCUUCCUCGAUUCAAGCAUUUUGGACGAGAGCAUUGAGGUCGUGAUUGACUUCAACAGCAACGAAGUGCUUACAUCGACGAUAAAUGCCACUUUUCGGGUCGGAUGUUCUGAUAAACAAUGGUGUAUAGCCUGGCUGUGCGUUUCGGCAAUCUUCCUGCAGUAUGCACAGCAAAGAUCCUUCAAGGCCAUGCUCAUCAUCAGUCACAUCAACGCCCUGGGACCCUCAACUGCGAUGCGCCAUAUGUUUGACGACGACGAAUGAACUGUUAAAUGAUAUUGAACUUAAUUAUAUAUGUGUGACAGUGAAUAAUGUGAUAAUUUUCUGCAUGUA